GAUGAAUGCUCUUCACUUUCCUUCCAAUUUCUUCGAUCACUCUUGAAUCUUGGAAAAACUUUAUAAUUUUAAGGGUAAUGUUUCUUAGGAAGAUCAGUUACCCAUCUUCCCUAAACAUACAAUGAAGCUUCCAAACAGAAGAGAGAUACACCGAAGAAGAAGAGAAACAGAGCAGAAGGCUUUCAUUGGUACUCAAAACUACAUAUUUAUAAAGAAAUCAUCAGAUUCUGUGUAGAAGCCAAUGACCCAAAUUCAAACCCACACCAAAUUCACACUAACUCCGAUCAAACAAGCUUAUCAGCGAUUAUCCAUUAACAAAUCAUGAACAUUUAAGCCAUCUUAACCUCAAUGGUCCUGGGCUUCUUGGGCGCCGGCGGUGGGAGCUUCUCAACUGUGACGGUCAACACUCCAUCUUGACAAACCGCGGAGAUCUUAUCAGUAUCCGCAUUCUCCGGCAAAGCAAACUUCCUCAUAAACUUCCCCACCCUCCUCUCCAUUAUCACGUGCUUGGCGUCUUCCUUCUCUUCCUCGCGCUUCCUCUCUCCGCUGAUCACCAGCACAUUGUCGUCCUCCACCUGAACCUUGAUGUCGCCGGAUUUCAGCCCCGGCAUGUCGACGAUGAAGGUGAAGGAAUUCGGGUACUCCUUGACGUCCACCGGCGUAGCCGCCAUGGCCUUGGCGUCGCGGACGUAGGUGCGAGUGGGUGCGCUGACGGACUUCUCGGAGUCGUCGGCGGCGUCGAGCUUGUGUUGGAGGGCAGAGAAGAGUGGAGAAUCGAAGCCCAUCAUCCUCAAAUCCAUGUUGGGUUUCAGAGAUUUGUCGUGUCAGAUUGUGAAUAACUGCAAGUGCAACUGCGAAUGUGGAAGUGCCUGAAUGUUGGAGGAAAUCGUAGGUAGUGGUGUGGUUUUUAUAGAAGACAGAGUUGGGAAACAGAGGAAGGUUCUGGAAAGAACAAGAAAGAGGAGAAUUGGGAGUUUGGCUCUGCUGAUUUUGCUCCAAGGGUUCCAGAAACUUGUGGAAGUUUCUUAAAAAUGACGAAAAUACCCCUAUCUUUGUUCAUACCUUUUAUGGAAGUUUUAUUUCAACUUACCCAAUGAUUUACAAAUCUUCUAAAAAUUAUGAUUUUGAUCUAUGCUUAUUUUAGAUACCAAUGCAAAUACGAUCUAAGAUUCACCUCAAUACAAAUUUAUUUAUCAAAAUUUAAAUUUAAAACACCAGAGAUUAAAUUUAAUCAAUACAAAUUCAAUCUCCUACAAAAAAAAAAAAAAAAAAAAAAAAAAAAAAGGACCUUAUGAUAUAGUUGUCAACCAGAGGAAACACCACCUUACUAGCUUUUUUACUUGCCAUGAAAUCUUAAAAUUUUUGCAGGAAAAAAAUGAAAACAGACCAAGGAAAAGAAAAGGUAGACUUUAAUCCUUUAUUGACGGUACUGAAAAUUCAGAACUGCACAUUGCAGUGUAAUGAAGAGAUCACCAUCUUCAUCACGCCUAGCAAUUGACCAAGAUCAAACCCAAACAAAAGCCACCUGGGCACACCCACAAUACCAUAUUGUUUGCUAUUAAAAACCCAGAAAAACAUUCCCAAAACCCUCAAUAUUUCAAGCAAUUUUGACCUCAAUUGUCUUGGGCUUCUUGGGCUCCGGCGGUGGCAGCUUCUCAACAGUGACGGUCAGCACCCCAUCUUGACAAACCGCGGAGAUCUUAUCAGUAUUCGCAUUCUCCGGCAGUACAAACUUCCUCAUAAACUUCCCCACCCUCCUCUCCAUUCUCACGUACUUGGCGCCUUCUUUCUCCUCCUCACGCUUCCUCUCGCCGCUGAUCAUCAGCACAUUGUCGUCCUCCACCUGAACCUUGAUGUCGCCGGAUUUCAGCCCCGGCAUGUCGAUGAUGAAGGAGUAGGCAUUCGGGUACUCCUUGACGUCCGCCGGUGUCGCAGCCAUGGCCUUGGCGUCGCGGACGUAGGUGCGAGUGGGAGCGUUGAGAGAUUUAUCAGAAUCUUCAACGGCGUCGAGCAUGUGUUGCAGGGUUGAGAAUAGUGGAGAAUCAAAAUCCAUGACCCUCAAAUCCAUCCCGCUUUGCAGCGAUUAGUCUGUUAGAUUGGCGACGAUUUGUAAAUGAAAAUGCAGAACUGAUUUUCUGAUGACGAAACCUCGGCCGUGGUGUGGUUUUUAUAGGUGGUGGGUUUGGCUUUGGGAAUAAGAGGAAGUUUCUCGAAGAAGGGAGAAGAGGAACAUCGGUAACUAGCUUCUGGAAGGAUCUAUGGACUUUCUUAGAAGUUACAACGGUAUAAGAAGUUGCUGGAAUGUUCUUUAUUAUUGACUAAAAUGCCCUUCUUUUUUCUUUGUCUUUUUUUGAUAUGUAUGAGAAAUUAAUACAAGAUAUUUUUAUUAGGAGAAAGUCAUAUUUUGUAUGUCAAAAAAAAUUAUUGAUUAUUUAUGUAAGUCAUAUUAUUUUAUCCUUUUAAAUCAAAUAAGUCUAAUAAUUAAUUGGUAAGCAAAAUAAGUCAAAUAAUUUUUGGCUCUCAAAAGGGAUCUAGGCUGAUGUAAAAUCUAUGAUCAAGGAGUUUCGGGCUACAGGAUCUGAAAUUUUAGUUAAUGAAAAUGCA
rnacentral:lncRNA from 1 species